CCUUAUUUCUUCUCCCCCCCAGGCAACCGAUGCCCUAUUCCUCUAAGUUUUCUCCCGCCCCUCCCCACGCCAUCCGCCAACUGUCGAACUAUCAGCACCUCACUUAGCUGGAGAGAGUCUUCUUCUUCCAUGGGAAUGUUCUCUCUCUGCUUGGUGUCUCGCGCUCGCUUUCUCAAGGUUCAGUAAACACUGAUCGAAGGAUGAAGGGUGAAAAAACAAAGUUUGAAUUUUGAUUGAAUGGACCCUUACUAGUUACUAUGCCUUUGUCUACAAAUAGCACGCCACAUUAUUCGGGAUUGAGAGCCUUAAGCUUGAAUGGCCAUUGUAUGGUUGUAUA